rnacentral:rRNA from 1 species
ACACGACUACAUUAGAUACCCGCGUAGUCCUAGCCGUAAACGAUACUCGCUAGGUGUCGGCCACGGUGCGACCGUUGUCGGUGCCGUAGGGAAGCCGUGAAGCGAGCCACCUGGGAAGUACGGCCGCAAGGCUGAAACGUAAAGGAAUUGGCGGGGGAGCACCACAACGGGUGGAGCUUGCGGUUUAAUUGGAUUCAACGCCGGAAAUCUUACCGGGACCGACAGCAACAUGAAGGCCAAGCUGAAGACUUUGCCGGAUUAGCUG